UGUUGUUUAAUGAUGAAAAUUUGACGGAUGUUUUUCUUUCUAUGUCUUAGUUGCGCAAAACCGUGCGGAUUUCCCGUUGCCUUCCUUCUGAAAACAAC
rnacentral:snoRNA from 1 species